UCUUCUCGUCUUUAUAUAUCUUCAGAUAUUGUUUGUCAUCAUAAAGCAACACAGAGAAGCUACAGUCACUGGACAAAGAGAGGAAUCAAAGAGACAGGACAAUUGUCAAGUUAUCUAAUGGGUGCAUUUGAUGAUGAAGACGGCACAUAAAGACCGUUCCAAUUGUUUGACUUUAUUACGAAAUUAUCUUAUUAUUUAGAUAUACUUGAAGGAUAUUCCCAGUAAUAAAGUGAACGGGAGA
ensembl:lincRNA linc-58 ncRNA